rnacentral:tRNA from 1 species
GCGCCCGUAGCUCAGCUGGAUAGAGCACCAGACUACGAAUCUGGGGGUCAGGAGUUCGAAUCUCGUCCGGCGCGCCA